rfam:Setaria italica strain Yugu1 chromosome VIII, whole genome shotgun sequence.
GAAGUCGAUGACGGUGAGAUGGCAUCUCAUAUUCUCAAUGGGCUUGAUUUUGAAUAUAAUCCUUUUGUCUCAUCGAUGCUUCAUCGAUC